UUAUGCUAUUUGGAAUCAUGAUCAUCCAUAAUGAAUAAACCAUUCUUCUACUUCUAAACUUGAUGGUUUAGAAGCAAGAACUGAUGCUGAUAUUCAAGUGCUCUGCUUCUGCUCUGACAUGUCACAGUUAUGUAUGUAAGUGGUCUACUAACGAAAGUUCAUUGGUGACAAACUGACACUGAUAUUAAGAUCAUAAUAUGGCCAAUAAAGCUUAGAAAAAAAACGUGGAUGAAACUUUCAAAACAUAGAAUCCACAAUUAUAUGCAUACCUUUGGAAAGCAGGCUCUGCACUAUAUGAAAUUGUUCUGUACUUCAAGGUUUCAGGCUAAUUCUAAUGAACUACAAGCUGAAAGUGUCAAACAAAUAUUGUGACAUCUAUGCUGACCUAACAACACAUACACGACCAGAACUUUACAUAUUCUGUGUGACAGUAGUGCGGCAUCGUCCUUUUCAUUCAUCAUCCUUUUUUGUUAGCCAUGUGUUAAUUGUCCUACUUAAUUUCUAACUCAUCAUAUUGCUCUUGAUUUUUAGUCAUGCUUCGAGCUUUGGUCUGUGCAUCUACAUGAAGAAAGCAUGUCUUGGCUAAAGAAAGGAGAUCAAAAGAAUAUUUCGGCGUGUAAGGAGACACAACGCUUGCAUGCGAGGGAAGCUGCAACAGGGAUGAUCAGUUUGUCGCUACAUGAAUGGAGACCACAUGCCAUGAUGUUUGACACACAAUUCUUAAUUAGAGAAAAAAUUAAAUUACUUGUUUUUAUUCCGUGCAAGGUAUGCAUGCAUGCCACACACAUAUAUCAGUUGUUGCAAGUUGAGAUCAUCCGCCAACUAUCUUAAAAGUCAAUCUGCCAACUUAAUUAAUCAAUCAUGUCGAAUUGUUGCCAACUUAAUUAAUCAAUCAUGUCGAUUUUUAGACGCGGUGACUAGAAGAUGCAAAAUUCCUGUUUAGUUGAUUUUUAGUAGAAGGUUUUGUGCCAAUGUAGAACAAAAUCUGAUUUGAUUGGUGUUAUAUAUUGAUAGGACUAAUUAAGCUGCGUGCAUGCUGAAUGCCCUUCCUGCUGUUUCCUACUGUUGAGAUUACGCUUUUGGCUCAAGGGGCAUCACAGGUGGUGCACGCCUCCUCCCCUUCAUAGUGGUGGCGGAUCGGCACGAACUUGUGGGGAUGGAACUAGGACGGAGAGUGGGGCGCUUGGCGGUCCGUGGGGAAAUACGGUGUGAAGAAGAGAGGGCGCCAUGGUGAAGGAGAGGUGGACAUCAUCCGGUUUUAAAGGAGGGGGCUCUAAUGAGAAAUGUCCCACUACAGCGGGAAACCUAGCAGGAAUGGAAGGGUCUGGCAAGAAAAGGAAAGGGUUCAUCUUGGGUAGGGCUUUUGUGUUGGGCCCUCUCUCCUUCGUGAUGGAUAGUCUGGAUAACCACAUUCUACACCACACAUAUGGUCUGGGUUUGGGUGAGCCGUACUAUCCGCAUUUUGGGGAGCAUGCUGGACGCCCGUUUGAUGUCCGAACACGCCCGAAGGCAUUUAGGGAAUAUAAAGGGAAGAAGGCAUAGCCCAUGUGUAGUUUGGAGGCAAACAAAGCAUCAUUCAAUACAGUCACUAAAUGAGGAUGUGGUGGAACAAAUGUUUCCUGGCUGAGUCCUUUCUCUUCUUUAAUCUUUAAUUCUUUUUUCUUAUUAUUUUGUACUAACGUGAGGCGCCUUAUGAAUCACCAUUAGUUGUUGGUGUUCCAAAUAUAUUAGAGAGCAACACAACGACUGAAAAGCCAGACAUAGUCAAAGGGCAGUGAAUUGAAAGAUGAAUGAUGUAGGGAUGUAGAAGGUGACCGAUAACAACUUGAUGGAAAGGUCUGCUAGAGGGGUGAAUGGUGUUUGUUGAAAAGAGAAAGGAAGAUGCUUGUGUUUGUUGUCCCAUGGAAUAUCACACACAAUAUGCGCAUUCAUGGACAAAAACUCAAGCAAUAUUUA